GACGAACGCUGGCGGCGUGCCUAACACAUGCAAGUCGAGCGAAUGAAGUUCCUUCGGGAAUGGAUUUAGCGGCGGACGGGUGAGUAACACGUGGGCAACCUGCCUCAUAGAGGGGAAUAGCCUCCCGAAAGGGAGAUUAAUACCGCAUAAGAUUGUAGUACCGCAUGAUACAGCAAUUAAAGGAGCAAUCCGCUAUGAGAUGGGCCCGCGGCGCCUUAGCUAGUUGGUGAGGUAAUGGCUCACCAAGGCGACGAUGCGUAGCCGACCUGAGAGGGUGAUCGGCCACAUUGGGACUGAGACACGGCCCAGACUCCUACGGGAGGCAGGAGUGGGGAAUAUUGCAAAAUGGGGGAAAUCCUGAUGCAGCAACGCCGCGUGAGUGAUGACGGCCUUCGGGUUGUAAAGCUCUGUCUUCAGGGACGAUAAUGACGGUACCUAAGGAGGAAGCCACGGCUAACUACGUG
rnacentral:rRNA from 1 species